rnacentral:rRNA from 1 species
UACAGAGGGGGCAAGCGUUGUUCGGAAUUACUGGGCGUAAAGGGCGCGUAGGCGGCCUUCUAAGUCGAACGUGAAAUCCCUGGGCUCAACCCAGGAACUGCGUCCGAUACUGGAAGGCUUGAAUCCGGGAGAGGGAUGCGGAAUUCCAGGUGUAGCGGUGAAAUGCGUAGAUAUCUGGAGGAACACCGGUGGCGAAGGCGGCAUCCUGGACCGGUAUUGACGCUGAGGAGCGAAAGCCAGGGGAGCAAACGGG